rnacentral:misc_RNA from 1 species
GUGCGAUAAGUAAUGUGAAUUGCAGAAUUCCGUGAAUCAUCGAAUCUUUGAACGCAAAUUGCACUCUCUGGCAACCCGGGGAGUAUGCCUGUUUGAGGGUCAGUGUUAAUAAAAAUCGGUGCGUCGCAAUUUUUUUGUGAUGUUUCCGGAGUUUGAGUUAUCUUAACUCCUUUUGGGUUUUAAGAGGCUUAAAAUUGACCUUUUUUGUGCAUUUUAGACGUACAUAAAUUUUUUUUUAUUCGUCUAUCGUAAUGCCAAAAUCUAUUAGAUGCGACCAUAUCAUGUGGUUUCGUGUCUAUAAAUUUUUUCAUGAUUUGACCUCAAAUCAGGUAGGAACACCCGCUGAACUUAA